UGGGGAAUUUUGGACAAUGGGCGAAAGCCUGAUCCAGCAAUGCCGCGUGUGUGAAGAAGGCCUUCGGGUUGUAAAGCACUUUUGUCCGGAAAGAAAUCCUUGGCUCUAAUACAGUCGGGGGAUGACGGUACCGGAAGAAUAAGCACCGGCUAACUACGUGCCAGCAGCCGCGGUAAUACGUAGGGUGCAAGCGUUAAUCGGAAUUACUGGGCGUAAAGCGUGCGCAGGCGGUUUGCUAAGACCGAUGUGAAAUCCCCGGGCUCAACCUGGGAACUGCAUUGGUGACUGGCAGGCUAGAGUAUGGCAGAGGGGGGUAGAAUUCCACGUGUAGCAGUGAAAUGCGUAGAGAUGUGGAGGAAUACCGAUGGCGAAGGCAGCCCCCUGGGCCAAAUACUGACGCUCAUGCACGAAAGCGUGGGGAGCAAACAGGAUUAGAUACCCUGGUAGUCCACGCCCUAAACGAUGUCAACUAGUUGUUGGGGAUUCAUUUCCUUAGUAACGUAGCUAACGCGUGAAGUUGACCGCCUGGGGAGUACGGUCGCAAGAUUAAAACUUAAAGGAAUUGACGGGGUCAUGCUGUUUCCU
rnacentral:rRNA from 1 species